rnacentral:rRNA from 1 species
AUGCUUGUCAUAAAAUAUGUGAAAGAUGAGCAUGAUUGCAAUGUUGUUAGUAUGAAUUCUUUGAAUACCCAUGAUGCUAAUGAUAUGCAAAGCCACAAGCUUGGGGAUGCUAUGUUUGAUGAAGAUGAUAUUUUUAGUCCCCCAAGUUUUGAUGAACAAAUUUAUUAUGAUGAGAGCAUGCCUCCUAUCUAUGAUGAUUAUUGUGAUGACAUGUAUGCUAUAAAGAAUAAUUAUAACCAUGAAACUUGCCAUCAUGAUUUUAGUUUUCAAUUGGAUUAUGCCUCACAUGAUAGUUAUUUUAUUGAGUUUGCUCCCACUAUUAUUCAUGAGAAGGAAUUUGCUUAUGUGGAGAGUAAUAAAAAUUCUAUGCUUGUAGAUCAUGAAAAGAAUGCUUUAUGUGAUGGUUAUAUUGUUGAAUUCAUUCAUGAAGCUACUGAAAAUUAUUAUGAGGGAGGAAUAUAUGCUUGUAGGAAUUGCAAUAAUAUCAAGUUUCCUCUCUAUGUGCUUAAAGUUUUGAAGUUAUGCUUGUUUUGCGUUCCUAUGCUAGUUGAUUAUUGUUCCCAUAAAUUGUUUGAUCACAAAAUCCCUAUGCACAGGAAGUGGGUUAGACUUAAAUGUGCUAGUCAUAUUCUUCAUGAUGCCCCCUUUAUGUUUCAAUUCUUAUCUUUUAUGUGA